GUGGAAGCUCCUCCCGUCAAAAGGAAGAUGGAGGUGAAACGGAAAGAAACAUGGUGAGAAAAAGGCAAAGCGCUGCAUGUACCUGCAGUGCAGAACUUAUGGAUGUUGAGAGGGGUUUCUUGCAUGAGAGCAAGCAGAGUAAUGAACUGCUCAAAGAAUUGAAUUCAAAAUGGACGCCAUGCUGGCAAUGAAACAGGAGAAAAUGAGAAUUUUCAAGGGGUCACAAUUGUUGACUAAUGAUGACACUUUUGUUUACAUAUAAACACUCAAACUUUAUUCAUGUUAGUCCGUCUCAUUCAGGGUCCAUAUGCAGCUAUGUUUAAAAUUUAAAAUUAAUGAAGCUCUGAAUCCUAUUUUUUUAAUUAUUCAAAAUAACUGUUAUGUAACACAUUUUGAAAGAAUACCUCUUGACAGUAGAACAAAAUAUCUUGUACAGAUGCAAUUUUUAUCAUUUCUUUUCUUGUAAUAACAUUAUUACAACUGAA